rnacentral:lncRNA from 1 species
GGCCUUUUAUAGCUGACUAUGCGGUAUGGGCUUUGCUCAUUGUUGAAGGCCGUACGGUGACCUAUAGUUGUUAAUGUCUGUGUCAUUUUGGUGUUAUGUGGAUAGUUGUCUCAUUGGCAAUCAUACCAUAUCUUCUUUUUUAUAUAGUAGAUCUUUCUAAUUUUGAAAACAAUAUUUCUCUUGCUUCGUUGAUAAAAGGGCACUUACAAAAUAGUGAAUACUAUCCUCACCAAGAUGACC